rnacentral:rRNA from 1 species
UGGGGAAUAUUGCACAAUGGGCGCAAGCCUGAUGCAGCCAUGCCGCGUGUGUGAAGAAGGCCUUCGGGUUGUAAAGCACUUUCAGCGAGGAGGAAGGUGGUGAGCUUAAUACGCUCAUCAAUUGACGUUACUCGCAGAAGAAGCACCGGCUAACUCCGUGCCAGCAGCCGCGGUAAUACGGAGGGUGCAAGCGUUAAUCGGAAUUACUGGGCGUAAAGCGCACGCAGGCGGUUUGUUAAGUCAGAUGUGAAAUCCCCGGGGCUCAACCUGGGAACUGCAUUUGAAACUGGCAAGCUAGAGUCUCGUAGAGGGGGGUAGAAUUCCAGGUGUAGCGGUGAAAUGCGUAGAGAUCUGGAGGAAUACCGGUGGCGAAGGCGGCCCCCUGGACGAAGACUGACGCUCAGGUGCG